ensembl:lncRNA
GAGAUACAGUAAAGAAAGCAAAGAGAAAGCAGAUCUAAUAGCAGAAACACUGGCUAUGGUUCAAAGCUGUGGUAAUCUGUUUAAUUAAGAGACAUUGUAACGCAAACACAGUACACAAGGAAACAAAGAAGCCCCGCUGGAAGAAAGCACUAGUAGGAUGGACACAUUAUUCUCGUAAACUGAAUGAAAUAUGUUUCUCACAACAGGAACACCAGAUCAGGCAAAAGACCAAACUAAUUAUGGCAUGUUAAAAAUCUUAAUAAAGGGACAUUUUGUUAGCCUUGUACAACAAGGUCUGGGAAAAGGGACACCAACUCCGUCAGUGGAAAGAAGCUGUUGUUUCCCUAUAUGCGGACCCAUGUCUGGCUGGGACUAUAUGGCCUAUAGCUCUGACAUCACAUGUGGGCAAAAUAAUGGAGAAAACGCAAGAAUUACUGGCUAUUUAGAAUAUUUUUUUUAAAUGAUCAACGUGGAUUUAGACUCACCAUUGACCCAGCACUAGACAGCACUGUCUAUAAAAAUGAAAUCAGAAAAGCACAAAUAAAUAGAGUCCAGGUGCAGUAUUUUUUUGAUGUAGAAAAGGCCUAUGACAAACAAGGUUUGUUGACAUAACUAUACAAUAUACCCACAAAGCCUACAUCAGCAGAUUAAGAAAUUAACAAAAUCAGGAGAACACCGUAGUCAAUAAAUUACAGGGCAAAAUUGAUGGAUUGAUGUAUGCUGACAUAACAGCCGUUAUACCCCAAAUCGAUUUAAUGUCUAACAAAAGAACACUUAUCAGUAUACACAGGGAAAAAAACAGCAAUCCUGCAACAGGCCAGGUAAAGUUUUAAUAGGAUCAGACUCACGCAAAGCAUUGGUAAACAUCAGGCAUAUAUCAUCAGACAUAAGACCAGACAUUAUUAUAGAAAUCCAUCAAACACUUCUCCAAAUCGAGAAAAACAAGACAGGGAUCAACUUCAUGUGUAACCCAGCUCCUAUAGGGGUUGAAGGGAACAAACUGGCAGACAAAUAUGCAAAGUAUGGCUGAAGUUGAGUGCAAAGUAAAUACUGAAAUGAAACGUAAAUGGCAGAAGAGAUGGAAGAAAAGGGUGACGUUAUCAUGACAGAAAUUAGAAACCAGCGGGAAGAAAGAGGAUGAUGUCAUGCCUAGAAUGAGGUUUGGACACAUAGGUCUUAAAAUCACACAAAUACAGUUUUUUACGAUUGAAUAAACUCUAAAAUCAAAAGUAUCACAAUUGUCCAAACUGUACAGUCAAGGAGCAAAACCUCGGCCCAGAUUCGCACCACUAUGAACACAAUGUCAACCUCACACUGCUUGCAAAACAAUACACAGUAAUUUGUUAGACACUAAACACACUUCUUUACAUUCCACACAGAAGUAUAUCAAGAAAUGUCACUUCCUUGCAAUUGCAAAGCACUGAUAGUCAAAUUACCACACCCAUGUGCCAAUUGGUUAUACACAGCCUUCAGAUGCCCAAACACAAGAUUGCUUAAUUUUAGACACACCAAUCAGGUUUAUGCAGCAGGUGAGUUAAUCUUUCUUCAACCAAAAUGGAAGGAAUGAGAAGAGUGAGGGUGGGAGGAGAAUUCCCAGAGGAGGAAGUCAGAUCGAGCUAGACGAAGAGACAACGUGUGACAUUUUCUGUAUUGUAUUUUCAGCUUCAUCUAUUUUUUAUGUUUGUCUAAUGCAUAUAAACGGGAACUUAUUUCUUGUUGUGAAUCUCCGUUGUCAACAGCAGUGUGUAAAGUCAUUUAAAAUGUGUGUGUCAUAUGGUAACAAAAUAUCACAAAUUAGUGUAUCGUGUUUAGUUUUGAGAAAUUCAGUAUGUGGGCGUGCUAAUUGUGUGUACUAUUUUUUGAAAAACAAAACCAACAAAAUCGUGCUUACAGUAAACGAUAGAAACGUAGAAAAACUAAUACUGAGAAAACAUCCAACAGGCACCUGUCAGUACUGCAGUGAAGGGCAGAGGUGUCAAAAGUAUUCACAUUCAUUACUCAAGUAGAAGUACAGAUACUAGGGUUUAAAAAGACUCCUGUAGAAGUUGAAGUAUCAACUCAAGCUUUUUACUUAAGUAAAAGUAUAAAAGUACUGGUUUCAAAACUACUUAAAGUAUAAAAGUAAAAGUAAUGUGAGGGAAGAAAUUCCAUUAAGAACAAACCCUUAAUGUGUAACCUCGCUCACACAACACGUCAGUCCGUGAUCAGAAGACGCCUGCAGAUCACGUGACCUGCCGUUGGGACGGUGGAAACAUGGCGAUACUCAGAGAUACGACAACAAAACAACAAAUGUAUCUAACUUAAACAGAUAAAACCACAACCCAUUUUCCAGUGACACGAGUCACACACACGUUGUUCGCAUUGAUUAGGUAGACUGCAGUGUCUCCCCCAGGUUUACUACGUCAUGGGGGGGGGGGGCGCACCCCUGUUUAUAAUGAUGGGAAACACUGAACUGGCAGCGGUCGGUUAUCAGAACAAAUAACCAGUAUUUUCAGGCUUCAUGAGCAAAUACAGAAUCCCUGUGCGUUGAUUUCCAAAGCCGCAUUAAGACACACAUCACUUUAUUUAAUACGCUGCUUGCAAGUCGCUGUGUGCCGGCGCAUCGCGGAGAAAACCAAUCGGUGUCUGGAUGCUAAAGGUUUAUAUUCUCAUCCAACCACAAUCAAAUUCACUGUACGGAUAACGUGAUUUAUCUAGAUGGGUUUCUUUGUGUCUGUGUUUUUGAACUGCGACAAGCCGGAAGUAACGAGGCUGUUUUUAAAAUGUAAGGAGUAGAAAGUACAGAUAUUUGCGUGAAAAUGUAAAGAGUAGAAGUAAAAAGUCGUCUGAAAAAUAAAUACUCCAGUAAAGUAUAGAUACCCCAAAUUUCUAAUUAAGUACAGUAACAAAGUAUUUGUACUUCGUUACUUGACACCUCUGGUGAAGGGAAAUCAUAGAACACGUUAUCAUCCAUUGUCCACAAUACAAAUCACCACAGACUGUUUCCAGGAAGAAAAGAUUAGGUUUACACACCUGAUGCAACUUAAUUCACAACAUCUAGUUUAUAUCUAGCAGACGAGACAAAACUGGUACAAGGACCACACACCAUUAAGUUGCAUGCCAACCGCCAAAGACGAAAAGGGAACAUUUCCUGACUGGGUUCACGUGCACUAAAGAAGUGUUUCCACUCAGUAUGCAUCAAUGGAGUUAUGCUAAAAGAGUGUGGAAAUUAGGCAGGAAUCUCAUGUAGUGGCUCCUGAAAUCCCAUUCACAGCCCCCAAGAGAGAGCUAUUGAAACAAGACAAGGAGUGAAUCUAGUGUACUUGGCAGGUUUCAGCAUGAGACUCUUCUCUCCUUCAUCCUCAGUCAUCAUGCGCAGCAAAUGAUGGAUUCCAGGGAAGAGACGUUUGGGUCAUCUUGAAUUAGCACGGAGAAGGCCUAGGAGUGGAAGAGGCAUCCACCAAAGACUUUCAUGACUUGCCAUUCUGUCUACUCCCUUUUUCUUACCCCUCAGAUCACUUUCUUACCUUGAAGCGACUGAAUGCUGCUAGCGCUAAUUAAGCUGGCAAAUAGCCUCAGCACAAGCAAAAAGCCAAGGAUGAAAGCUCCAUUAAUGAAUCACAAUGCCGUGACAACACUGUCAAUUACUUCCAUGAGCAAGGAGAAAGAAGAUGAUGAUGUCUAAGAAAAAACUAAGAACACACAAGUGAGGUUUGGGCUCAAUGGAUUUUCUUGUCAUACAACACAAUGACUUGGAAACUUCUGAGUGUGUGUCUGUAUUUACUGUAUAUGCUAGGCUGUGAAGGCCUAUGUAAUUCUAGAUUACCAAAGCGAUCGCUCAUUAGCUAGACUAGAAUUCUUCAAACUGUUCAGUGUGGACAGCAAAAUAUUCUCGUACUAUCGGAGAACUUUAUCUGAGACAUCUAGCAAGAAGGUGGAAGGAUUCCAGAUCGAGUCAUUGAAUGGCAAUGUACUCAUCUCACUACCACCGCUGAUUGAGUGUCAUGAAAUCGGUCUAAGAACACCAAGUUGAAAAAGAUCACCACGCUAAUCUACAGCAACCCCGUCUCCAUCACAUCCCGCAACUGGCCCAUAAGCACAAAUACUCCUGCUACGAGCUAAGAGAUGUCCUUCGAGUACAGAAGGUCAGGUAACAGGUCAACUGACCACACAACGCCCCUUUGCUCAAUGACAAGGUAGUAAAGAGGUUGCUCUUUACUACAAACCUUGCAAACAGACCGUAGCUUUUUAAAAAUGGAUGAAAAAGUCUACAGGACAACGCUAACAAUUGGAUCGCCCCACUGCCAUUUAAAGAUCAACGGCAGCUUCUCCCGAACAAUGGGGCAGGUGGUUAACCGGUUUGCAUCCUUGCAAGGAACGUUGAAAAGGAAAUCUGAGAUGCAGGAACAUGGAGAAGACCUUUGCUAAUGGACAUGCUGAGGUUGCACCGUCACUGCGAGAAGACGAGGGGGGCUGGUAUCUCCCAACAUUUGGAGUCUACCACUCACAAAAACCCUAACCAGAUCAGGGUGGUCUUCGACUCCAGCUCCCAGUACUAUGGCGUCUCUCUCAAUGACGUGUUACUCACUGAGGUGCUGAUUUCCUCCGGGUUGGUCUGUAUGGCGUGCUGUUCUGCCAGCCUUAAUCACCUCCAUGUUCAUCUUGGCUUGAAGACAUAAUUAAUCCACUGAACACGUUCUGUGUGCUGUUGAUCUUUGUUUAUUUGUGUUCAGGUACUCUUUUGGUCAUAGUGGAAACAACUCGCUUUCCACGACAGCGGUCCAAACCCUUUCACUCUCUGGGUCCAACACCUGAUGCCACAGCGCAGAGGACAUGGUGAGAGACAUGGAGAGGAGAGGUUACGAGGUGGGAGAAGGCACCGCGACCACAGGGAGGGAGCUGAUAGGAGCCCGAGCAGAAUGGCAACAGACGACUCAAAGACGGGAGGACGUCAGCGGCUGCUGCCAGAGAGAAGCUGAGGGGCUUUCAAAGAAUAAACUGAGUCUGGCUCGUGGACCCAAAUGGAUGUUUUAUGGAUCCCAGUCUGACGGGCUCCAAGGUAUGUUAACGGACCUUUACUAAAUCCAACACAAUUUAAGCCGAUUGAGAGAGACCAAAAUGAUGGAGUUGGACAUAACUAGUCGGAGGGAAACCCUACGGAAUGGGUUUGACUUUGGUUAUAUAGGGUUAUUGAUCUAGGAAUAGAUGGGUAUGACUGGUGUCACUUAAUGUUAAUUGAUUGAAUACCCGCAAGAAGAUGAACAAGGUAAAAACUAAAGAAGGAUAGAGCCCAAAUUAUAUAUCUGCAGGAGACUCACCUCAACAAAGUAGAACAUGACAAGCUAAAGAGAUAUGAAUAACUAAUUGCAAAUUGAAUGUGGGUCUACUGAAUGAUAAACAAAGGAAGGACAAAAUCAAUCCUGUCACUAAAGAAAUUGUGGAAUAUUGGAUGAAGAUCCAUGUCUUCGGCAACGCUCCAUCUCCAGCUGUUGCUAUCUAUGGGGCUGCAAAAUGCCAUCAGAGAAGGCCUAGAGGUGCAUGGUUCAGAAACUGUGAAGAUCGUGGAAAGACACUUUUACAUGGAUGAUGGUUUGAUAUCACUACCAUCCGAAACAGAAGCGACUUGAUGCAGCGGACACAAGCACCAUUAGCAGAAUCAAAUCUGCGCUUAGACAUGUUUGCAUCAAACCGCCAGGCAGUUAUAGAUGUCGUGCACAGCAAUCAACUGCAGUGGUUUCUGAUAUGAGCGGAGAAACCACACCCACACGAUGAAGCCUGGGUCUGUUAUGGGAAAUCCAGACUGAUACAUUUACCUAUACUGCAUCAACUACGAUCAAACUAUUCACCCGACGUGCAGUUCUCUCCACUGUCAACAGUAUCUUCGAUCCCCUGGGUCUGCUAGCACCGGUCACAAUCCAGGGAAGAGCCAUCCUGAGGGAACAUACGUUGGAACUGUCUGACUAGGAUGCGUCUUAUUCAGAAGAGAAACAAAGCAGAUGGGAAUCAUGUAAGGAUUCAUUCACUCACUGUCAUCAGCCACGUAAGGGGCUGCUAUGCUGCCUGCCGUGUAUGGAAUAGCUCCGCAUUUCCCAGCGUUGGAGGCGAGCCUCAUGCUGUUCAUCGAACUUACCCGUGCCUGUAGGUUGGAAGUGACGGUGAUGUCCAUCCUCGAUGGGCACGUAUGGGGUGUAGCGCUCUCCCUGUUAGCCUGCGUAGCUCGUGCUAGUCGCUACCUCCCAGAUUAGGUUGUUGUUUACCCCUUUACAACAACCCGACUAUUUUCUGCCCUGGCUCCUAAUAAAGCACUAUAUCGUUUGGCUUUCUUGAACAAUUUUAUGUUCUUCCUUCUUGUUGUUCUGGUUCUGUACCCUCUUGAUGAAUGCACUUAUUGUCCCUUUGGAUAAAAGCUUCCGCUGAAUGAUGAAUGUAGACAUAAUCUGCUGCUUCCGAUUCUCUCGCCUUCUCCGUCCUGGUGCGGGUGGCGACUCGUUCUCUGUCCAGGUGUGAGCCUUACCCACUUACACCUGGGAAGAUGGAAGCUCGGUGCUGGGACUUGCUUGAUGCACUCUUGAGCUAAGCCAGCAUGGCUUCUUGCUGCUGCGCCUCGUAGGCGAGUGCUACUACGCCAGCCAGCCAGCUCAUGUUGUUGAUCUAGCUCCCCCUGCAAUCGAUCAUGUCCCAAUCAGACAUUCUCUUAGUGACUACAACACUCCACUUCAACGUUCACCUUGCCUCUGGUGCUUGCUUGAAAUGACAACUGACAGCAACUAGGACUGAGGGAAACCAGUCCCACUAAGCACGGGGGAAACCAUUACCCGCUGCAACUAUGGAGUCUCCAUAAACAUGGGGCACAGCAGGACCCAAUACAGGUGUGAAGUUUUUUUUAUAUAUUAAUAAUGUAGGGAAGGUUCAUUCCAAAGUGCAUGUAUCAGAAGCAUAAUGUAACAGAGGCCAGUACAUGUGGAUUCAUUUUGGUCUGCACAUCAUGGGCACUUGCUAAAAUGUUUUGAUCAUACGAGGAACAGUGUUUUAGAGAGAUCAUUAUACAUUCUAGCUCUUUGUUCCCUGUAUUAAUUCAUCGGCUGGGAUUGUAAUCCAUCUCUUUCUGAUGCAACAGCUGUUUAUGUUAUAUUUAUCCAGAAUCCAAGGAAAUUAUAAAACAAGUGCUAUUUCCAACAAGAUUCUAAAAAACUAAUUGAAAAUGACUCAGUUCUGUAGACAUAUUGUCCAUAAGAACUUAAACAUUAAUUUUGGCUGAACAAACCCUUUAACCUCAACCCUUUUAACCGCAGGUGGACAUGGAGUUUGGAGCUGUUCUGGUCCCUGAAGUUCAGCUGAUGGCCCCCUGUCCAUUGUGUUGAAUGUUUUUGUACAAACUGUAUGCAUUUCUGAUAUUAAUAUCAGAAAUGCUCCAGUGAAUGCCACAUGUCAACAGCUGCAUGAUGCAAGAGGAAGUUAAAUAAAUACUUUCAUUGAGCAUAGAUCUGAAAUCAGUGUGGAAUUCUUAUUUUAAUGAACGAAUUUAUACUUAAGUCAUUUUGUGUCCUCUAUAAUCGAAAGCUGUCAGGAGGCCAACGUGAAUGCCAAUAGAAUACUUGUCAUUUUCAAAUGUCUAUUUUGUUAUGAGGCACAACAAUCUGGUUAGCAAGAGUGGAUCGAACACACUAAAUAAUCACUGAAAUCAUUAACAAAGCUUUUUAAAUCGUCCACAGUUGCAUUAGAGCUGUUUCGAAAAUGACAUAGAAAUUCAGAUUUUUAUUUUGAAUGAUAUUAUGAAUUCCUUCCAUGACCAUGGACAUAAUUUCUAGUAUCCUCUGGCGUUGAAAUGACAGAGCUGUGACAGUCAGCUUUACUGAAGCUACACCAUCUGAAAUGUUACAUUUGGCAAUUGGGCUCAGUUGCUGUUGGUAAAGUUGUAUUAUACAACUGCCUGUUGAGAACUUUAUUAUUCUAUUCUAUGUUAAAAUCACUCCUACAGAAUGUAAAUAUGACUGCUUUAGAAUAUAUUGGAAAGCAACUUUGACAAAGCAAUGCUAGCUGUUCCUCAUUCUGAAUUGAUCAGUGUGAAAUGGAAAAGCCUGGGGGUUGUUUUGUUGUGCAAACAAACCUGCUGACCUUGUGAGAUACAGUGAGAUGCUGUAUAAUGAAGACAAAAGCCAUCUUCAUUAUACAGCAUUCAACCAAUGGAUUCACCAACACAACAACACCUUGGAUCAGCGUAUGACCUUCAUGUGGAAAAGGCCAUCUUAUCAAAACAUGAAAGAAUAAUCAGCCAGCGAUGUCUGCAAAUGGAUGUCAGGACCAGGAAAUAAAUGCCAAUGUGAGGGUUUCGGGACAAGGGAUGAGGCACGUGUACAGACUACAGUAAUCUAUCCUGUUCACUAUCAAAUCUCAUAAGAAAAGCUACACAAAGCUGCCCUUCAACCAAUAUUUUAAAUAAGAGGACAAACUAUUAGUGAAUUGGCAUUUAACCAAUAAAUACCAUCAUGAAACCUUCCCAGUUGACUUAUUCCCAGUAUGUCUUAUUAUUAAGACAAUUAGUUGUAGUAUUAGUAGUAUUUGAAGUUUUUUAGAAAUCUUCAAAUCAAACCAGUGCAGUAGAAAAACAGUAUUUUUGUCUUAAAGCAAUUCCACUAGGAAAGAAAGGUCAAAGUAAUACUUGGUUGGUGGUUGUAAUCAUUAAUCAUUCAUAAUCAUUAAUACCCCCUCGCUGCACUUUCUACAUCCACAGAGCCGAUUUCCCACUACAUUCAGUCCAGUUUAGCAUAACGCAUACUGCUGAAAAAUAGCUCAGAUUAUGAAAUAAUGCCAGGUUGGAUAGACAACAUGAAGGGCUGCUUCCAUUCUUGCUGUUCAGGCAGGAUGCUCUAGUGUCUUCUCGCCAUCUAUUCAGGGAGAGGAGGCUGAAGAAACGUUCACCCGCCAGGGGAACUGGACAGGAUGUGCCAAAUACAGCCUGCGUAGCUUGGGUAUCCAGCUGCUGCUAACAAUAGGAUCCUCGUUGGGGGAUUUGAUUCAUAAAGAGAGAGUGGGGGAUAUUUCGGGCAUUGUUCAGAGGUAGGGAUUUCUGAAUGCGGCUGGUCCAGAUUUCCUUCACACCAUGGCUAUUGUUUGGGUGUGUCUGGUAAACAAUUUAGCAUGAAGUUAUUUUUUGUCCUGCUGACAACAAGUCCAAAGUUCAUGACACGUCAAUGGCCCCCCAAACGUUCCUUUGGCUGUUUUGGGGUAAUAGUUCGGGAAUGGAAGAGUGUGUCAACUACUCAUUUGUACUCAUUUAUAGAGUAAUUAGGAACACAUAUAUGCUAGAAAGUAUCGACUUUCAUCGAUUCUAAAUGUCUGGUUUACCCAUUUCAGAUAAUGUACAAUAAAUUGUUGUCACCUACACUUUCAAUUGUCACUUUCUCUUCGCUGGUGCACUUUAUUUUUUAAUUUUUUAAUAUUUUUAACUUUUAUUCCUUUAUUUUCAACUAACCCAUACCAUUAUAUUUUAUUUUAUUCCUUGUGCACUGUUGUCUUGUCGUCGUACUGUCUGCUGUUACGCACCAACCGCCAAGUCAAUUUCCUUGUAUGUGACAUAUUAUGGCAAUAAAUGUUUCCUGAUUCCUGAUUUAUAGAAGACACCUGUAGUCAGUUGGGUUGUGAUGGUUCGUUGUUUCUAAAAGCUAAACAAAAUGUUUAGUAAACAGUAAAGCUCAAACUUGAAGCUAGUAAAGCCGACUCACUUUAACUUUGAAUUUAGUCUUGUAGGCCAGAGAGGUAGAAUAGUCAAAUGGCGUGUAGUCAUACAUACAAUUUUUUGCUAUCAACUUUAUGUAACUUUAAUUUUUAGCUAUCGAUUAAAACAUAGAAUUUAGGUCUGUGUGAAGUUGAUCUGCUACUGCAAACCUGGUUUCAGAAUGGUGAACCUGAACACGAACACUUUGGAAGAUAUUUGGGUAAAUCUUUACUUUGUUUUUUAUAAAAAUUCAUGCACAGCUACAUUUUUUCAACUCAGAAAUCAACAAUCUUAAUGUAUCCAUUACAUAGGGCUGGGCGGUAUGGCUAAAAAAUAUACCACAUUGUUUAUCACAGUAUUUCUUGUCGAGUAACACAUUUAUUCAUUGACGCCAAAAAGGACCGCCGUUCACUGCUCGCUGGACAGCUCGUUUGCAAAUGUCUGUCAUAGCCUUUGUGCAUGCUAGUGUUGCCACUACAGGCAAACCCAGCAGCUCAACCAACUUUACAUGGGACAAUUAGCUCGCCGACAAGGUGUAAAAAUAGACCCACUAUUAAGUAUUCAUUGUGACACCUAUAAACUUGGUCCUUUAUAAAAACAACUGUCAAUAAAAAGGCACUGAUAAAUAACAAAUGGGUAUUAUAACGACAAUCGAGCAAAUGAGAUGUGACAACCUAACCAUCAUAAUAACUAACGUGUAAAUAAUAAAUGCAUAAGGCAAUGUGCAAAUGGAGGUCGGUCACACAGAGAUGAAGUACAAAUGUGUCGCUAGCUCUCCAUAUACGCAGAGCCAAUACUGCCCAUUAGGUGGCCUCAGGAGUCAGAGUUUUAACAGAAGUUAGGCUGCAUUAAAGUGUUGAGAGUUGUAGGUCUGUGGGGAUGAAAUAUUUUCUUUUCGUUCUUUUGAGCAGCUCUGUGACCGUAGCCUACAAAUGACAUCUCUCUGUGGCUCACCAAUCUGCUGGGUAGAUCAUUGGCGGACCUCGGCUACCUGGGGGAAGGGUUGGAUAGGACACAUUAGAGGCCACUUGAUAACAUUUGUUUCAGCAGAAGCCCACCUUAAAGUGGUCCAGUCAGUCAGGUUUUCUCCACUGGAUGAACACCUUAGAGGGCACGUAAUUAAAAAAAAACCUCUCGUAGAGUAAUUUAUCUUUAAUCUAUCAAAGUAAUACUUUCCAUGAGUACCAUCCACACUGGGCUUUCACUUUGAUGUGUUUUAGCCUUGUAUCACCAUGUUUUACAGGGCUUGAUACUUUGUUAUGGAGGUUUUUUUUUAGGCAAUGGGUUAAACACUGUCCAGAUAGACAAAGUAGUUCCAGAGUUAUUUAAUCAUGGUAUAUCAUUUUUGGAGAGGAGGCAAAAGGCGUUUCAUUGCAAAACGGAACUACUGCUUGCAGGCUGCCCGAUCUGAAAUCAGUUGCCUUCUUUGUCCUGAUACGCCUCUCACACAAAUUGGUUCCUUCUGUGCACAUGUAUCCGGCCACAGGACACAAAUAACUAGAUGCAGCUCCCUGUAAUGACAUAUACUGGACAAAAAGGGCUAGAAUUAUGGAGGGAGGAAUAAAAUCACUACUUUCAUCUGGCCUGCUGGGGCUGUCAUGCUCCUAAAGAGCCACUGGUUUGAAAAUGUGGAAACGUCGCCGUGCCUGUAUGAAAAGCACAUAGACAUUAGACAUGUGGUCGCCGCAAGAAUUCACAGGGGGUCCCUUUUCAAAGGCUUCAUUCUGGAUUGUUUUCAAUCUCGAGGGAUUGCACCAUUCCAUGUCGCUAAUGUUGGGGGACUCAAGGUCAGUCAAUGAAAGGGAAUGUUAAGUGAAACGCUGAACCUAGACCUGCUCCUCGAACCAUCUGUGCUUCCUGUUAUGUGUUAUGUGCUGCUCUUUGCACAGCAGGACAACGCUUUCAGCCACAAAAUGAGGGGAUUGUGUCCUUGCACUCAAUCAGUAAUGAGGUGGAACUCAUGUUAAAUUACACACAUGACUGGAGAAAUUGUAUUUUGUUACUACGCACCCUGUAGCAGCAGUUUUGCUCAUUUGAGUUUCUUUUAUGAGUACACAUUUUCAACGUAAACUUCUGUUCUUAAUAGGAAAACCCUCUGUAGUUUCACAUGGAUCAGGUGAUAAAGAGACCCUUCAUUGCAAGACUUUAGGGGCUGUUACCGAGAUGCUCUGGGAAUUUAAUGGUUAUUCAAGUGUUCUUUGGGUGUAGAUGUUGAAGGCCAGGCCUGUCGACACAAAGACAUAAUUAGUCUGGCUGUCUUUAUUUAUUUAUUUAUUUAUAUAUAUAUAUAUGUGACUGGGCAUGUGUGGGUGAGUGGGGAGCACGGUCGUCCUCCAAUCAGAGGGUUGUGGGUUCGAUCCCAGGCUCUGCUAACCCGCAUGUCGAUGUGUCCUUGGGCAACACGCUUAACCCAACAUGCUCCUGUAGCUGCGACUACAGUGUGUGGAUG